rnacentral:rRNA from 1 species
GACGAACGCUGGCGGCGCGCUUAACACAUGCAAGUCGAACGGAAAGGCCUGCUUUCCCUUGUGGAUUGCGGGUACUCGAGUGGCGAACGGGUGAGUAACACGUGAGUGAUCUGCCCCCAACUUGGGUAUAAGCCUGGGAAACUGGGUCUAAUUCCCGAUAGGACUGCAGGGUGGUGCCUGUGGUGGAAAACGAUUUUCUAGUGGUUGGGGAUGAGCUCGCGGCCUAUCAGCUUGUUGGUGGGGUAAUGGCCUACCAAGGCGGCGACGGGUAGCCGGCCUGGGAGGGUGGACGGCCACAUUGGGACUGAGAUACAGCCCAGACUCCUACGGGAGGCAGCAGUGGGGAAUAUUGCACAAUGGGCGGAAGCCUGAUGCAGCGACGCCGCGUGGGGGAUGACGGCCUUCGGGUUGUAAACUCCUUUCGACCGCGAGGAAGCCACCUGGUUGGAAGGGUGGUGACGGUAGUGGUAGAAGAAGCACCGGCUAACUACGUG